rnacentral:rRNA from 1 species
GUACGGGAGGCAGCAGUGAGGAAUAUUGCACAAUGGGCGAAAGCCUGAUGCAGCAACGCCGCGUGAGCGAUGAAGGCCUUCGGGUCGUAAAGCUCUUUUGAGAGGGACGAGAUAGGACGGUACCUCUUGAAUAAGUCACGGCUAACUACGUGCCAGCAGCCGCGGUAAAACGUAGGUGGCAAGCGUUAUCCGGAUUCACUGGGCGUAAAGCGAGUGCAGGUGGCUUUGUAAGUUGGAUGUGAAAUUUCCCGGCUUAACCGGGAAGGGUCAUUCAAUACUGCAGGGCUUGAGGGCAAAAGAGGGGGGUGGAAUUGCCGGUGUAGUGGUGAAAUGCGUAGAUAUCGGCAGGAACACCUGUGGCGAAAGCGGCCCCCUGGUUUGCUCCUGACACUCAGACUCGAAAGCUAGGGUAGCGAACGGGAUUAGAUACCCCGGUAGU